rnacentral:rRNA from 1 species
UACGAAGGGUGCAAGCGUUAAUCGGAAUUACUGGGCGUAAAGCGCGCGUAGGUGGUUCAGCAAGUUGGAUGUGAAAGCCCCGGGCUCAACCUGGGAACUGCAUCCAAAACUACUGGGCUAGAGUAUGGUAGAGGGUGGUGGAAUUUCCUGUGUAGCGGUGAAAUGCGUAGAUAUAGGAAGGAACACCAGUGGCGAAGGCGACCACCUGGACUAAUACUGACACUGAGGUGCGAAAGCGUGGGGAGCAAAC